AUUGAACGCUGGCGGCAGGCCUAACACAUGCGAGUCGAGCGGAUGAAGGGAGCUUGCUCCUGGAUUCAGCGGCGGACGGGUGAGUAAUGCCUAGGAAUCUGCCUGGUAGUGGGGGAUAACGUCCGGAAACGGGCGCUAAUACCGCAUACGUCCUGAGGGAGAAAGUGGGGGAUCUUCGGACCUCACGCUAUCAGAUGAGCCUAGGUCGGAUUAGCUAGUUGGUGGGGUAAGGGCCUACCAAGGCGACGAUCCGUAACUGGUCUGAGAGGAUGAUCAGUCACACUGGAACUGAGACACGGUCCAGACUCCUACGGGAGGCAGCAGUGGGGAAUAUUGGACAAUGGGCGAAAGCCUGAUCCAGCCAUGCCGCGUGUGUGAAGAAGGUCUUCGGAUUGUAAAGCACUUUAAGUUGGGAGGAAGGGCAGUAAGUUAAUACCUUGCUGUUUUGACGUUACCAACAGAAUAAGCACCGGCUAACUUCGUG
rnacentral:rRNA from 1 species